AGUGAACGCUGGCGGUAGGCCUAACACAUGCAAGUCGAACGGCAGCACAGUAAGAGCUUGCUCUUACGGGUGGCGAGUGGCGGACGGGUGAGGAAUACAUCGGAAUCUACUUUUUCGUGGGGGAUAACGUAGGGAAACUUACGCUAAUACCGCAUACGACCUACGGGUGAAAGCAGGGGAUCUUCGGACCUUGCGCGAUUGAAUGAGCCGAUGUCGGAUUAGCUAGUUGGCGGGGUAAAGGCCCACCAAGGCGACGAUCCGUAGCUGGUCUGAGAGGAUGAUCAGCCACACUGGAACUGAGACACGGUCCAGACUCCUACGGGAGGCAGCAGUGGGGAAUAUUGGACAAUGGGCGCAAGCCUGAUCCAGCCAUACCGCGUGGGUGGAGAAGGCCUUCGGGUUGUAAGGCCCUUUUGUUGGGAAAGAAAAGCAGCAGGUUAAUACCCCGCUGUUCUGACGGUACCCAAAGAAUAAGCACCGGCUAACUUCGUG
rnacentral:rRNA from 1 species